AGAAGGUGAAGUUAGUGUAUUUUGAGCCCUGGAGGUCCCACUGUGGUGCAGUGGGAUUGGCAGUGUCUUGGGAAUGCAGGGAUGCAGGUUUGAUCCCCGGCCCAGCACAGUGGAUUAGGGAUCCCGCAUUGCCGAAGCUUGGGUCUUGACAAUGGCUUGGAUCCGAUCCCUGACCCGGGAACUCCAUAUGCCAUGGGGCAGCCUAAAAAAGUAAAAAAAGAAAGAAAAAAAAAUAUAUAUAUAUAUAUUUGAGCCCUAUACACCCCAAAAUAUCAUCUCUUCAACAUAUAAUCAAAAUUAAAAUUAUUAAUGGAAUAAUUUACAUUCUUUUAUGGUACCAAGUCUUUGGGAUCUGAUGUUUAUUUUACACUUACAGCACAUCUCACUUUGGGCUACCAGCCUGACGCAAAGAGCAGGGCUGCCUGAGAAAGCACUAAAGGUUGCAUUGCUUCAGAGCCAGAAAAUGAACGCAUGGCCCAUAGGAGAUUCGCUUCAGAGGUGAGAAGGCUGAGGUGUCUACCCAAGGUCACGCAGCUAGCAAACAUUGGAGCCCGAGAUGGACCAGGAGUGGUCUGCCUGCAGAACCUCAGCCCGGACCUUGGUGCCAGGGCCCUUGAAGAAGACCAGCUGCUGAGGCUCUUUUCUCCGUGAGUUACCAGCUCCUCUGCACCCCUGGCCCUGAUUUGCUGACACUUGACUGUAAGCAUCGUGAAGUCAGGAAUCGCCUUUGAUCAGCUCAGCUCUGGG